CCUGCUCAGAGCAGGGCAAGCUUCAAAGUCAGGUUGCUUGGGUUCUUAAUGGAAAUCUCCAAGGUGGUGGCUUCUCCCUGAGCCCCUGUGGAAGGUAGUGCCACAUUUGCUGGAUUUUCUUCCUUCUACCCAAGCAGUAUUUCCUAUCACAGAAUUGUAGGGGUUGGAAGGGACCUCUAGAGAUCAUCGAGUCCAACCCCCCAAAAAAGGCCUUACUUCAGCCUUGCCUGAAACAUUCAUCUGCUAAUUCGUUAUCUAUUUGUUUCUAUAUGAAAGCAAGAAAUUUAUCUAAAAACACAGUGUGGAAAAACUACCUGGCAUCACUGAGAAUAAUAUUUUUCCCAGAGUUGGCCAAGUUCUGAUGUGCUACAGCCAGCUCCCGUUCACUUUUGUCCUUUCUCUGUGUGCUUCAGAGGAGAGCUGUUUGCUUUUUCCCCUUAAAUCUCCUGGCUGGGAGCAGAAAACCGCUGUCAGGCCCUUUUUCUAUACCUGACAUUUCAACCGCACAGCCUCAUGGGCUGCAGCGAGCACCUGGAGCUGCAGCAGUGAGAUCCUGAGCUCCCUUUAUCCCUACAGGAAUGCAAAAAAACACCCCGGCCCCCCCCCCAUGGGCAUGCCACCGAGAGGGCCUCAUUUUGGGUCGCCUAUGGGUCACCCUGGCCCCAUGCCGCACCAUGGGAUGCGUGGCCCUCCUCCACUGAUGCCUCCCCACGGGUACAGCGGCCCCCCUCGCCCCCCGCCGUAUGGCUAUCAGAGAGUCCCCCUCCCCCCCCGGCCGGCUCAGAGACCCCCUGGGGUGCCCCCACGUGGGCCUCUGAGAGGCCCCCUGCCCUAAAGGCCAUCGGGGCCAAACUGUGCUGCCGUGAGUCCUUCUUUCAGGCUGACAUUCACCCUUGGGCUGAUGUACCUCUGCCCAGAGGGAAGAGGUGUAGUUGGAUCCAUCCCUCUCACAGUUCUCCCUCUCUUUUUUUCUCCUCCUCCUCUUUUUCCUCAUUUGUUUUUGUAGCAUUUAUUUUGUUAUUUUUCUUCCUCCCUCUUUUUGAAGAUUUUUCACAGUAACUUCAACAGGAUUUUUUUUUUCCCCAUGUAAAGCAAUGAUUGCUCGUUUACAAAUAAAACAUUUUAAGAACAGGAGGCUGUCCCUCUG
rnacentral:lncRNA from 1 species